rnacentral:rRNA from 1 species
UACGUACUGGGCGAACGUUAUUCGGAAUCACUGGGCCUAAAGGGUGCGUAGGCGGCUUUCCAGGUCUGAUGUGAAAUCUCACGGCUCAACCGUGAAAUUGCGUUGGAAACCGGAAAGCUUGAGUGUGCUAGGGGUGUGUGGAACUUCCAGUGGAGCGGUGAAAUGUGUUGAUAUUGGAAGGAACGCCGGUGGCGAAAGCGACACACUGGGGCAUAACUGACGCUGAGGCACGAAAGCUAGGGUAGCGAAC